GAUGAACGCUGGCGGCGUGCCUAAUACAUGCAAGUCGAGCGAACAGACGAGGAGCUUGCUCCUCUGACGUUAGCGGCGGACGGGUGAGUAACACGUGGAUAACCUACCUAUAAGACUGGGAUAACUUCGUGAAACCGGAGCUAAUACCGGAUAAUAUAUUGAACCGCAUGGUUCAAUAGUGAAAGACGGUUUUGCUGUCACUUAUAGAUGGAUCCGCGCCGCAUUAGCUAGUUGGUAAGGUAACGGCUUACCAAGGCAACGAUGCGUAGCCGACCUGAGAGGGUGAUCGGCCACACUGGAACUGAGACACGGUCCAGACUCCUACGGGAGGCAGCAGUAGGGAAUCUUCCGCAAUGGGCGAAAGCCUGAAGGAGCAACGCCGCGUGAGUGAUGAAGGUCUUCGGAUCGUAAAACUCUGUUAUUAGGGAAGAACAAAUGUGUAAGUAACUAUGCACGUCUUGACGGUACCUAAUCAGAAAGCCACGGCUAACUACGUG
rnacentral:rRNA from 1 species